rnacentral:rRNA from 1 species
UACGGAGGGUGCAAGCGUUAUCCGGAAUCAUUGGGUUUAAAGGGUCCGUAGGCGGUUUAGUAAGUCAGUGGUGAAAGCCCAUCGCUCAACGGUGGAACGGCCAUUGAUACUGCUAGACUUGAAUUAUUAGGAAGUAACUAGAAUAUGUAGUGUAGCGGUGAAAUGCUUAGAGAUUACAUGGAAUACCAAUUGCGAAGGCAGGUUACUACUAAUGGAUUGACGCUGAUGGACGAAAGCGUGGGUAGCGAACAGG